rnacentral:rRNA from 1 species
GGGCUCAACCUGGGAACUGCAUUUGAAACUGCCAAGCUGGAGUUUGGCAGAGGGGGGUGGAAUUCCACGUGUAGCAGUGAAAUGCGUAGAGAUGUGGAGGAACACCGAGGGCGAAGGCACCCCCUGGGCC